rnacentral:misc_RNA from 1 species
GGAGUAAAAGUCGUAACAAGGUCUCCGUAGGUGAACCUGCGGAGGGAUCAUUACAGAGUUCAUGCCCUACCGGGUAGAUCUCCCACCCUAUGUUAUUAUUACUUUGUUGCUUUGGCGGGCCGUUAGGCUCCGGCCCGACUACCGGCCCCGGCUGGUAAGCGCCCGCCAGAGGACCCAAAACCCUGAAUAUUAGUGUCGUCUGAGUACUAUAUAAUAGUUAAAACUUUCAACAACGGAUCUCCUGGUUCUG